rnacentral:sRNA from 1 species
UCACAAUCUAGUUCCGCAAAUAUCUGCACAAUGUACGACUAACGAUGAUGCAAUCUGGGAAGUGAGAGUAAAGUAUCGCCUAACUCCUCACCGACAUCCUUCAAGGCCGACUCUAGAAUCUCAAAUCGUGUCCUCUGGGGCCCUAGCAAGACGUCGAUAUACUCCUCAAUCGCGCCAAUCCAGAUAGGACUUAGUCUGGGCUCCUCCCCUUGCCUUACAAUAUUCCUGUAAUCUCUUCUGGUUCUUCCUUGGAGGAAGAGAAACCGGGUACCGAUAUGCUCCCCUAUCAACUCUCGCGCAAGAUCUGUAGUGAUUUCUUUCAUCAAUCUGAUUUCUUGUUCACGUGAGGGCCAUCUGUUUGUAAGAGCGAACUCUACACGCUUUUUGGCGUACUCGAUUUCGGCCAUUCGACGAAGUUUCCGCUCCAUGUACACCGCCGUUCGCUUAAUGUCCUCCCGUCGACUAUUGGCCCAAUGUGGCGUGAUAAUGCACGAUACAUCGAUGUGCAACUCGCCAAAACCAUAGGGGCGAUACCAUGGCCGCUUAUGAUAAAUUAGAUGCCUCCUGGUGAGAUUAUCAAUUGGCUGUUCCACGAGGAUGGGGUGUAUGACAAUCACUUACCCGAAGUCCGUCUACGAUCAAGGUCUUUGUCCAAGCCCCUAAUCAUCUGUUUGAAUUGCUCCAUCCAGGCUGUAGGUGUGCCCGGAGAUCCCGAAUAGAAUUCUGCAACCGGUGGUGUUACCCCUGUUGCCGAGUCGGAAGGAACGAUUGGUACGUUCCAUGUGCGGCUGUCACGGUCAAUUGUCAGUGAAUCCAUUGAUGAACCCUGCGUUGUGAAUAAAAACGCUUGGAAGCUGAGUGAGCUAGAUUGUGAAUAUAUUUCGAAACGCUGUAGAGAAAUCAGUCUAUGAUGGUGUAAUCUGAGUGGCAAGAGAUGAGAGGUAAAGACAUACAUCGUCACUUGGAUUUAUAUAUAUAUCAAACGAAGGGAGAAGGAAACACGCUGAUGUACAUUGGCCAACGCGACCGAUAACCGGCUGCGUCAAGAUUUGUCAGUUUCUUUCCCAUUUCCGUAUCCGUCGAUUAGCAUCAAAAUGCAUCAUUAAGAUCGAUUCAAAGGUUGUCGGAAAGAAGAAGAAAAGAGAGCCGAGGCUGGUGACAGAGAAUGAAGAACAUAAAAACCACGUUUUCAGGACCCCGGUGAUGGUGUCGAUCUACCAACCUUCCGGUGCUGCGAUUUUUUUAUAUUUUUAUUUCCGA